GUUUAGCUCCUGGUGAGCGAAACUGCGAAUGGCUCAUUAAAACAGUUAUAGUUUCUUUGAUGACUAACAAUUACUUGGAUAACUGUAGUAAUUCUAGAGCUAAUACAUGCGUAAACACCCGACUUUUGGAGGGUCGCACUUAUUAGAUACAAAACCAACCUGGGGCAACUCAGAGUAAUGGUAAUUCAUAAUAAUUCAGCUGAUCGCACACUUCGGUGGCGACACGUCAUUCAAGUUUCUGACCUAUCAGCUAUCGACGGUAAGGUAUUGGCCUACCGUGGCAUUGACGGGUAACGGAGAAUUAGGGUUUGAUUCCGGAGAGGAAGCCUGAGAAACGGCUACCACAUCUAAGGAUGGCAGCAGGCGCGCAAAUUACCCAAUCCUGACACAGGGAGGUAGUGACAAGAAAUAACAAUACAGGGCAAUACUGUCUUGUAAUUGGAAUGAGUGGAUUUUAAAACAAUCCACGAGUAACAAUUGGAGGGCAAGUCUGGUGCCAGCAGCCGCGGUAAUUCCAGCUCCAAUAGCGUAUAUUAAAGUUGCUGCGGUUAAAAAGCUCGUAGUCAGAUUUCUGGUCCCACGAGUUGGUCGGCUUAACUGCUGUACCAAACUAUGUGGAACCUUUGCCUUAUAUUGUGCUGCUCGCAGUACAAUGUUUGGCUCUUUACUUUGAGGAAAUUAGAGUGUUUCAAGCAGGCUCCUGCCUUGAAUACAUUAGCAUGGAAUAAUAAAAUAUGACUUCGGUUUUAUUUUGUUGGUUUCCGAGCUGAAGUAAUGAUUAAUAGGAACAGUCGGGGGCAUUCGUACUUAACAGUCAGAGGUGAAAUUCUUGGAUUUGUUAAAGACGAACUACAGCGAAAGCAUUUGCCAAGGAUGUUUUCAUUGAUCAAGAACGAAAGUUAGGGGAUCGAAGACGAUUAGAUACCGUCCUAGUCUUAACCAUAAACUAUGCCGACUAGAGAUUGGAGGUUGUUCCAAACACCUUCAGCACCUCAUGAGAAAUCAAAGUUUUUGGGUUCCGGGGGGAGUAUGGUCGCAAGGCUGAAACCUAAAGGAAUUGACGGAAGGGCACCACCAGGAGUGGAGCCUGCGGCUUAUUUGACUCACACGGGAAAACUCACCAGGUCCAGACAUAGUAAGGAUUGACAGAUUGAUAGCUCUUCUUGAUUCUAUGGGUGGUGGUGCAUGGUCGUU
rnacentral:rRNA from 1 species